rnacentral:rRNA from 1 species
UUGUCUCCUGGAAACGGGUGGUAAUGCCGGAUGCUCCAGUUGAUCGCAUGGUCUUCUGGGAAAGCUUUCGCGGUAUGGGAUGGGGUCGCGUCCUAUCAGCUUGACGGCGGGGUAACGGCCCACCGUGGCUUCGACGGGUAGCCGGCCUGAGAGGGCGACCGGCCACAUUGGGACUGAGAUACGGCCCAGACUCCUACGGGAGGCAGCAGUGGGGAAUAUUGCACAAUGGGCGCAAGCCUGAUGCAGCGACGCCGCGUGAGGGAUGGAGGCCUUCGGGUUGUAAACCUCUUUUAUCGGGGAGCAAGCGAGAGUGAGUUUACCCGUUGAAUAAGCACCGGCUAACUACGUGCCAGCAGCCGCGGUAAUACGUAGGGUGCAAGCGUUAUCCGGAAUUAUUGGGCGUAAAGGGCUCGUAGGCGGUUCGUCGCGUCCGGUGUGAAAGUCCAUCGCUUAACGGUGGAUCCGCGCCGGGUACGGGCGGGCUUGAGUGCGGUAGGGGAGACUGGAAUUCCCGGUGUAACGGUGGAAUGUGUAGAUAUCGGGAAGAACACCA